GUCACUGUAGAGUAAAGUCAACUUGCUCCCUCCUGUUUGAGAACUUGAUCAUCGUUCCAAGGGGAGUCGGUGGUUCGAAUCCACCCGGGGACA